AGCUCGACGGCACGUGAUCAGUAACGCUUUCCGGCUCUGCUGCGUUAAUACCUAACUGGCGCCUCAGUGUUUGUGGGAGGAGGUAACGGGUAAGGAUAUAAUUGAGAAUAAUUUGCAGACUGGGAUCUCAAAACAAGUUCUGACAGUCAGCGGCGUCAUCAGGAUCUGAAUAUCAUUGGCAUUUAACUGUGGAAGGAAAAAGGUUGAUUUGCACUUCGAGACUUCAAAUGAAACCACGUCGAGAUCUGAUAGUCACAUUGAAGGAAAAAGCACCAUUCACACUGGGGAGAAACCUGCAUCGUCUGUGUGUGGAAGAGUUUGUGAAGAUUCAUCUGAAAUGUCCAAACGCCAGCGCAGUCACACUGGGGAGAGACUAUGGAAACAUGGGGAUUGUGGGAAGGGAUUUCUUUACCCAUCCCAGCUGAAAACUUACCCACGCAAUCACACUGGGGAGAAGCCAUUCAUCUGCUCUGAUCGUGGAAUGGGAUUCGCUCGGUUAUCCGGCCUGCAGAUACACCAGCGGGUUCACACUGGGGAGAGACCAUUUGUCUGCUCUACGUGUGGGAAAGGAUUCACUCGGUCGCCUUUCCUGCUGAUACACCAGCAAGUUCACACUGGGAAGAAACAUUCACUCGGUCAUGUCACCUGCUGGUACACCAGCCUAUUCUCUCUGUGGAGAGACCUUCACUUUUUCUAUAUGUGGGAAGGGAUUUCAAACUGUUAACACACCAAUGAAAUGACACUGGAUGGAUCCCGUUCACCUGCUGAAUUUGUGUAAAAGGCUUUGCUGUUUGCCAACACACCAGCAAAUUCACAAAAGAGCCACAGGUGAAGGAUCUGACUUUGACUCACACCAAGGAAUGAAUCUUGGUUAUUGGACUGUUUGUAUUGAUGUUAUUAAACCCUGUUCUAUUAAAGGGGCUGAUAUUGUAGAUAAAA